rnacentral:rRNA from 1 species
CCUGGUUGAUCCUGCCAGUAAUCAUAUGCUUGUCUCAAAGAUUAAGCCAUGCAUGUCUAAGUACAUGCCGAAAUAAGGCGAAACCGCGAAUGGCUCAUUAAAUCAGUUAUGGUUCCUUAUCUCGUUUCUUCCUACUUGGAUAACUGUGGCAAUUCUAGAGCUAAUACAUGCAGUGAGCCUGGAGCCCUUUGGGUAACGGGUGCUUUUAUUAGACCAAGAUCGAUCGGGUUUCGGCCCGUAUUGUGUGGUGACUCUGGAUAACUUUGUGCUGAUCGCAUGGCCACGAGCCGGCGACGUUUCUUUCAAGUGUCUGCCUUAUCAACUUUCGAUGGUAGGUUACUUGCUUACCAUGGUUGUUACGGGUAACGGAGAAUCAGGGUUCGAUUCCGGAGAGGGAGCCUGAGAAACGGCUACCACAUCCAAGGAAGGCAGCAGGCGCGCAAAUUACCCACUCCCGGCACGGGGAGGUAGUGACGAAAAAUAACAAUACGGGACUCUUUUGAGGCCCCGUAAUUGAAAUGAGUACACUCUAAAUCCUUUAACGAGGAUCAAUUGGAGGGCAAGUCUGGUGCCAGCAGCCGCGGUAAUUCCAGCUCCAAUAGCGUAUACUAAAGCUGCUGCGGUUAAAAAGCUCGUAGUUGGAUCUCAGUUCCAGACGAGUAGUGCAUCUACCCGAUGCGACGGCUCGGACUGAACAUCAUGCCGGUUCUUUCUUGGUGCACUUCAUUGUGUGCCUCGAGAUGGCCGGUGCUUUUACUUUGAAAAAAUUAGAGUGCUCAACGCAGGCGAGUCGCCUGAAUAAACUUGCAUGGAAUAAUAGAACAAGACCUCGUUUCUGUUCUGUUGGUUUUUGGAAUACGAGGUAAUGAUUAAGAGGGACGGACGGGGGCAUUCGUAUUGCGGCGCUAGAGGUGAAAUUCUUGGACCGUCGCAAGACGAACUACUGCGAAAGCAUUUGCCAAGAAUGUUUUCAUUGAUCAAGAACGAAAGUCAGAGGUUCGAAGGCGAUCAGAUACCGCCCUAGUUCUGACCAUAAACGAUGCCAACCAGCGAUCCGCCUGAGUUACUCAAAUGACUCGGCGGGCAGCUUCCGGGAAACCGCCAGUAUUUGGGUUGGGUUCCGGGGGAAGUAUGGUUGCAAAGCUGAAACUUAAAGGAAUUGACGGAAGGGCACCACCAGGAGUGGAGCCUGCGGCUUAAUUUGACUCAACACGGGAAAACUUACCCGGCCCGGACACUGGGAGGAUUGACAGAUUGAGAGCUCUUUCUUGAUUCGGUGGAUGGUGGUGCAUGGCCGUUCUUAGUUGGUGGAGCGAUUUGUCUGGUUAAUUCCGAUAACGAACGAGACUCUAGCCUAUUAAAUAGGUGCGGGGUUCCCUUCCCAGACCUUACAACCUUCUUACAGGGACAAGCGGCUCCUAGCCGCACGAAACAGAGCAAUAACAGGUCUGUGAUGCCCUUAGAUGUCCGGGGCCGCACGCGCGCUACACUGAAGGAAGCAGCGUGUCUUUAUCCCUGUCUGAAAAGACUGGGUAACCCGUGGAACUUCUUUCGUGAUUGGGAUAGGGGCUUGCAAUUGUUCCCCUUGAACGAGGAAUUCCCAGUAAGCGCGAGUCAUAAGCUCGCGUUGAUUACGUCCCUGCCCUUUGUACACACCGCCCGUCGCUACUACCGAUUGAAUGAUUUAGUGAGGUCUUCGGACCGAUGUCCGGCGCGGCCUUUCGGUUGCGCCGGUCUGUUGGAAAGAUGACCAAACUUGAUCAUUUAGAGGAAGUAAAAGUCGUAACAAGGUUUCCGUAGGUGAACCUGCGGAAG